UAGCUCAAUUGGAUAGAGCAUCAGACUUCGGAUCUGAGGGUUUGGGGUUCGAGUCCCUA
rnacentral:tRNA from 1 species